rnacentral:rRNA from 1 species
CAGCCGCCACGGGAAUACGAGGGGGGCAAGCGUUGUUCGGAAUUACUGGGCGUAAAGGGAGCGUAGGCGGAUCGUUAAGUUGGGGGUGAAAGCCCGGGGCUCAACCUCGGAAUUGCCUUCAAUACUGGCGAUCUUGAGUAUGGAAGAGGUAUGUGGAACUCCGAGUGUAGAGGUGAAAUUCGUAGAUAUUCGGAAGAACACCAGUGGCGAAGGCGACAUACUGGUCCAUUACUGACGCUGAGGCUCGAAAGCGUGGGGAGCAAACAGGAUUAGAUACCCCCGUAGUCCCUGUCUCUUAUAC